rnacentral:ncRNA from 2 species
AUCGUAUCAAGAGUGUGGCGAGAGUUCCGGCUCUGUGACCCACCGGCAACCUGUCCCGAGACCUCUCAAAGGAUAAGGUGCCCCAUCCGGCCCUCACGGGAAGAUGCUUU